GCCGGGCUUGGUGAUGUGCACUUGUAGUCCCAGCUACCCAAGAGGCUGAGAAGGAAAGAUCGCUUGAGCCCAGGAGUCCUGAGCUGUAGUGUGCUUUGUGGAGCAGGUGUCCACACUAAGUGGGGAAUCAAUAUGGUGACCUUCCAGGAGCAGGGGAACACCAGGUUGCCUAAUGAAAAGUGAAUAGGUCUGGGUGUGGUGGCUCACGCCUGUAAUCCCAGCACUUUGGGAGGCCAAGGCGAGCGAAUCACAUGAUGUCAGGUGUUCGAGACCAGCCUGAGCAACAUGGUGAAACCCUGUCUCU
ensembl:misc_RNA Metazoa_SRP Metazoan signal recognition particle RNA